rnacentral:rRNA from 2 species
UAGUUGGGGAUAACUCCGGGAAACCGGGGCUAAUACCGAAUAAUACAUUCCUUCUCCUGUUGGAAUGUUGAAAGAUGGUUUACGCUAUCGCUAUAGGAUGGGCCCGCGGCGCAUUAGCUAGUUGGUGAGGUAACGGCUCACCAAGGCGACGAUGCGUAGCCGACCUGAGAGGGUGAUCGGCCACACUGGGACUGAGACACGGCCCAGACUCCUACGGGAGGCAGCAGUAGGGAAUCUUCCACAAUGGGCGAAAGCCUGAUGGAGCAACGCCGCGUGAGUGAAGAAGGUUUUCGGAUCGUAAAACUCUGUUGUAAGGGAAGAACAAGUACAGUAGUAACUGGCUGUACCUUGACGGUACCUUAUUAGAAAGCCACGGCUAACUACGUGCCAGCAGCCGCGGUAAUACGUAGGGGCAAGCGUUGUCCGGAAUUAUUGGGCGUAAAGCGCGCGCAGGUGGUCCUUUAAGUCUGAUGUGAAAGCCCACGGCUCAACCGUGGAGGGUCAUUGGAAACUGGGGGACUUGAGUGCAGAAGAGGAAAGUGGAAUUCCAAGUGUAGCGGUGAAAUGCGUAGAGAUUUGGAGGACACCAGGGGCGAAGCGACUUUCUGGUCUGUACUGACACGGAGCGCGAAAGCGGGGGAGCAACAGGAUAGAUCCCUGGAGCCACGCCGAAACGAUGAGGCUAGUGUUAGGGGGUUCCGCCCUUAGGCUGCGCUUACGCAUUAGCACUCCCCUGGGAGGACGGCGCAGACUGAACUCAAGGAUUGACGGGGCCCCACAGCGGGGACAUGGGUUUA